GAUGAACGCUGGCGGCGUGCCUAAUACAUGCAAGUCGAGCGAACAGAUGAGGAGCUUGCUCCUCUGACGUUAGCGGCGGACGGGUGAGUAACACGUGGAUAACCUACCUAUAAGACUGGGAUAACUUCGGGAAACCGGAGCUAAUACCGGAUAAUAUAUUGAACCGCAUGGUUCAAUAGUGAAAGACGGUUUUGCUGUCACUUAUAGAUGGAUCCGCGCCGCAUUAGCUAGUUGGUAAGGUAACGGCUUACCAAGGCAACGAUGCGUAGCCGACCUGAGAGGGUGAUCGGCCACACUGGAACUGAGACACAGUCCAGACUCCUACGGGAGGCAGCAGUAGGGAAUCUUCCGCAAUGGGCGAAAGCCUGACGGAGCAACGCCGCGUGAGUGAUGAAGGUCUUCGGAUCGUAAAACUCUGUUAUUAGGGAAGAACAAAUGUGUAAGUAACUAUGCACGUCUUGACGGUACCUAAUCAGAAAGCCACGGCUAACUACGUG
rnacentral:rRNA from 1 species